ensembl:lncRNA
CCUCUUCAAUGUCUGACCAUUCCCUGCCUCUGUUUAUUUUGUCCACUGGAACCAGUUAUCUAUGGGAGUCCUGAAUGUAUUCAGAUGACCUAAAAAAGUGAUACUGCAAAACAAGAAAAUGGAAGUGUGCAAUGCUCAAUGAGGAGAGCAGGUAUCCCUUCUUCUCCUGUAAAAUGAAGCACACCUGGUAGAAAUGUUGUGCAUUCUGGUCCAGUGAUGAUCUGCAACCCCCUCAGUCUUUUGGAAUACCCAGUUCACUGUUGAGGUGCUCCUUGUGUCACCAUCUGCAUGGCCACGGCUGGGAAGGAGCUGAUCUUCUGAGCCGUGGGCAGCUCUACCUGCCUACAGAGCUACAAGCGAAUGAAGUGCUGAUAAACUGAAGCUGCAGCUGUGGACUCCAGAGAGACAGAGAUGCCUUGGGACAAUUUAGGUCACUAGCAAAGCACAGCCAAAGAAAUUACACAUGGUAGACCAGUUUUGAAGCAACUCCUGUUUUGACUGGGUUCUGAAAACCUCCUGGCCAUGGCUCCACUUCAAAUUCUUCACUUCCAUUCCCUGAAGGAUGAGAAAUCUGUGCCAAAGCCCAUGCUUUGGUGUCCUGUCUACUACAGCUCCCAGGAUAAAACCAGCAGGAGUUUUACUAAAUACGAUUUCAAGGAGGGCUGCUGCUGGGAACCAAUAACCAAGGCACAUCUCACAGCAGCAUCUCACAGUUCAAAGUGUGUAGAAGACCUUGUAAAACAGGCCCACUGUGGAAAGAAGCAUUUAUUUGCUGCAUCUCUUGCCAAUUUUGUUUUUCCAUGUGCAGAGCUGGCAGAGACAGGGAGACAGGUAUCACUCAGAGAUACCUCAUUGCCUUAUGAAGCUAAUUGCUCUGCACUAUGAGCAUGGACUCAUCUGGACAAUCUGAGUAAUGGAUACUACAUUGGAGGCUGCCCUACAAGGACUUCCUCUGGAACUCUGGUAAGGAAUAGUUUUGCCUAACGUUUUCAAAUGGAGAGAAAUAACAACAUGGCUCUGCCUGAAAGUGAAGGGAAGGUUAGAAAUUUCACAAG